CUGAGAGCCAGCCAGUAUGUCCCAUUCCAUAGUUAUACCAUGCUUACUCACAAAAUAAGUGUGUGUGUGUGUGUGUGUGUGUGUGUGUUCGCCUGAUUCUUCCCAGUGUCUUUGGACUGACUCAGUAAAGUUCUCUGAUUGCUGGGGCAAUCAGUGUGUCUAGACUAGGUGACAGCAAAACUUACUAUCUUGAGGAAACUUUCCAUACUGGUGUGAGCGCUGAGAUUGGCAUUCUGAGAUCCCGUCUUCAUGUGGCAGACAAUCAUAGUUUAAAACCAUAUUUAUAUACAGCUGAAAUGUAGUUGCAGUGAAACCAGUGUAUAACAUGGCUUCACUCACUCAAAUCACCUAAAGAACAGCUCUCUGUAAACUUAUCUCGCUUACCAACAGAAGUUGGUCCAAUUAAAGAUAUUACCUCACCUACCUUGUGCCUUAUUAAAAUUAUGUUAAUCUCAUGUUUGGAAACCUGUGUUUGAGAUUACGCAGAAUUACUAUUUGUGUACAGUCAUUUGAGACUGGACGUUCUUCACAAUGUAAUGCAUCUGCAUUCUAUAACAAACCAGGACAUGUAGACUGAAGUCAAGCAAAGUGUCUUUCUCCAGAUUUCUUGCUUUGUCCACUGUCUGGUUAGUUGUCUUUUCUUUAAGCCCUGUCCACGCUAUGGUUUUUAACUUUUUGUAACCGGUUAGUGACAUGGGAGGCUCUAAACAUGAUUUGUGUACAAUCACAAACAUAGUUAGUACGGUGAUAGUAACCAUGGAAGCUAACCUUGUCUCACCCUUUCCAGUGGUCUAGGUUCGUAUGUAGUUGUCUUUGGGUAACAAAGCAUAACACUCUUAUGUUAUGGAGUGUUGGGACCACCCUCAUUGUGCCUCAGUAACGGGAUUGAUUGCUCCUCCUGGCUCUGUCUGCUGUAGGACAUUCCGGAAUGCCUUGGCUAUGUCCUCUGAGCACUCUUUCCUUUGUUGAGGCAGUGUGGGAUAGCUGCCCAGAUUUUCCAGAAUGUAGACACAGACAUGCUGAGACAGCAAAGUUAGGUGUUAAUAUGAAAACACUGACAAAGUUUGUGUUAUGACAGAAGCUACUGGUGGACUAGAACUCCAGCAGUCUUUGUUGUAAUUGUGUCACGUAUAUCAUGUCCAGGUGGCAAAAAAAAAGCCUCUCUAUUCUUCCAAGGCUGCCGUCCAUUGUUUCAGGGGCAUUAGUUACCUUGGUCACUCAGGUCAGUAACUCUUUCUCUGUUGCAGUUUACACAGUCCAAUAGUCUUCCCCAUACCAAAAUCAUCUGCCAGAGGGUGCUGGUCUCUAGAGUGCUAGGGAACACUUUCGCCAAGGACGGCUGUCAUAGGUAGCUUUUUUUCUGUGAGACAGUUGCUCAUUUCACACACCCAUUCAUAAAGUGCACUUGGCAAUUGCCAGGUGUCCCAGCCGGUCACUCUCAGUUUGGAUUUCACAACACUGGCCCAUCAGCAGACAGAGCUCAGUCUGGCUCAUUUUCUGCCCUCCCUGCAGUUCCAUUCAGCAAUGUAUGAACACAAACUGUAGUACUUGCCUCUGCCUUCUUGUCAGGUGGCACCUUGGGAUGCAGCUGGGGUGCUGCUUUCUGCCCUGUUUGGCUUCUAGGCACUAAAAUCAAGGAGGUGGAAAAAGCAGCAGCUCGCGAUGACUGGAAAACCUACAUGAUACCAGAUAGACACUGUGACUUCCAUGACAAAGGAUUAGGGGUUUUGCCUAAGAAAUCCCCUAAUCUUAGGCAGAAACUGGAAGUUGUCUGGAAAAAAACCUGAAUAUUUUUUGGCAUAGGUGCUCAAUCCCCCCAUGCCCCUGUCCCUGCCCCUGCACUGCCCUCAUCCCACCCCCAUUCCACCCCUUCCCCAAGUCCCUGCCUCUGCCCUGCCUCUUCUCCACCUCCUCCCCUGAGCUCUUCCCCUCCCUCCUGGAAAGUCCUAAGUGCCGCCAAAUGGGGAGGCGGGGGAGCUUGGCUGCUGGUGGGUGUGGAGCACCUGCUAAUUUUUCCCUGUGGGUGCUCCAGCCCCAGAGCACUCACAGAGUUGGCGCAUGGGCAGCUGGUUUUUGGCAUGGGCAGUUGGUGCGGAGGCACUGCAAAAGAUUUUCCUAGGAAGACAGACAGAAUGCUAGGAGUGAACACACAAACACAAUUAUGUUUGGGUUUCAGAGUAGCAGCCAUGUUAGUCUGUAUUCGCAAAAAGAAAAGGAGUACUUGUGGCAAUUUAUUUGGCAAUUAUGAUGGCAGACAACCUGCUGUUUGGAUGCAUGCUAAAUAUUGUAAAUUGUAGGUGUUUAAAGAGACCAUGCCUCUCACUGGUUAUAAAAUGAUUAUUUUAGCCAUAGUGUGGAUGAAACCUUUCUGUCACCAGUUAGCAAAGGUAUUUGAGUGUCUUCAUUUAGCAACAGUAUUCUUUCAUCUAGCCCAAGGUUUGACCUUCAUUAAGGGCAACACUGGUAUAGAUCUGUUGUUUUAUGAUAAUGUGUGUUUGUAACAGCUGAGCAGCCUUUGGAGAGAUGUUUAGAGUUCAGGAAGGCUUUUUUUCCCACAAAUAUUGAGUUGCUGUGACUUUUUUAUGGAGCUAUCACACUUUGCACUUUGAAAGCAGCAAGUGUCCCAAGGCUUUACCUGACUUUAAAAUUCAAUUGUGUUCUUUAUUUCCAUUAACUGAGGGUAUGUCUGUACUACCCGCUGGAUCGGCGGGGGGUCGAUUUAUCGGGUCUAGUCUAGACCCAAUAAAUUGACCCCCGAGCGAUCUGUGACUCCAGUACUCCACCAGGGUGAGAGGCGCAGGCGGAGUCGACAGGGGAGCGUCAGCAAUUGACUCACUGCAGUGAAGAAACUGUAGUGAGUAGAUUUAAGUAUGUUGACUUCAGCUACGUUAUUCACAUAGCUGAAGUUAAGUAACUUAGAUCAAUUCUCUCUCUUUCUCUCCCCCGCCCCCUGCGCCCCCCAAGUGUAGACCAGGCCUAAGAAUUUAACAGUUGUCUUUGGAGUUUUCAUGGCCACUUUCUCUUUAACUUAAACGGGACGUUUCUGUCAAAGAAGGAAGUGUAUGCACCGACACAUUUCAACACCAGAGCGCCUGACAGGAGUAGAGGACAGAAAAGUAUGAAAAUUCAGGUGUUUGACCUAUACUAGUCAUCGUCAUUCAAAGUUGAAAAAUUCAGAUAAAUCAGUUUCCUAUAGCAUAUAAUAGUGAGACCCUGGUCUGUUUAAUCUCCUAAGAAGUUAAAUUCCAUUGAAACAGAAUAGCUGCAAACCACAGAAAUAGGGGAAAAUUCUCUUCCAUUUUGAAAUAUUUCUCUGUGUAGUGCAAUGAGUUGGGUUUUUUUUAAACUUGCUAAUGGUUACUAAUAAAUCUUAUAUUGUACAUUCUGCACUGAGUCAGUGUUUACUCAGGGAAAUAACUUUCAACAGCCAGAUGUGUGUGUUAAUUUUCAUAAUUAAAAUGUGCAAUUUCACAAAUUACAGAGCACCAUUCUUUAAUCAACUUUCUGUUUAAAACAGUAACUGAUAUAUAUUUAAAACACUAAACAGUGGGACAUUACAAGCUAUGUUUCUGCAGCUGAAGUUUUCUAGUUGUAGCAAUUGUUGCUGUGACCAACAAUGGAGUUUUAAAAAAUAAGAUUAUUGUACAGUCCGAGAUAUUAAAGGUUAUUUGAGAAUUUCAUAGAAUCCUUUAAAUUAGAGACAGAAAAACCUUGUUCUGUCUGCUAUCUCCAGUCUUCAAUAGCAGGUUGUCUUCUGUUCCAAGGACCUUGCAAACAGUUCAGAAUUGCUGCUUCUGUGUACUGGGAGGGGAAGAAAUGCCUACAGGUCCGUCUGCCAGAAGUUAUGUCUCUCUCUUAGAACUUGGAUGGCAAUGCAGACCACUCUUUUAUUUUGUUUUCUACAAGGAAUGAAGGUUAACAGGGAGUGGUUUAUUCUUUUUUCUGCUUAACUGUUUCUUUCUUUGUCAUUCUGUGUUAGCAGAAUAUUUUCUCUUUAGAGACCACGUGUGGUUCACCCUUGCACCCACUGUGUUUAUCAAGGUCAAUAAUAAUAAUCAGCAUGUAUACAACAGAUACUUUUCAAUGCACUAUACAAAUGUUGCCCAGUGAAUUCAAUCCCUGUGAGACAGGAGAUUCAGAAUAAUAGGGCAACUGAAAAAGUUUAGAAAUCUGUAAUGGAAGGUCACCUUUAUAAUCUGUCUCACCUUGAAUUUAAACAUUAAGUCAUGCUCAAAGUGCAGAUGACAUUGAUGAAUCUGAUAUACCCGAUGUGGAAGAAAAUGUAUGCUGAUAGAAAGCCAGCCUGUUAGCUACUUAUAUAGCAUUAUGGCCCCAAUUCAUCAAAGCACUUAACACACGUUUAAAUCUCAUUGAAGCCAGUGGGACUAAAGCAGGUGCAUAAGGUUAAGCAAGUGCUUUGCUGAAUUAGGCAUGCUGAAGAACUGUAAUGGUAAUGGGAGAAUGUAACAGGGUCUGUGGAACAGUGUAAUUCCUCCAGUUUGUCCCAGGUCUUUCACAUGUCGCGUUAAAUUCAACAGCUACAAAUUACUCCUCCUUUACUUUUUACUUUCUUCUUAUGUAUUAUGUCCAAUAAUCUAUUUCCUAUCAAAACUUCCUUUUAGACCGUGCCUAAGUUGGGUGUUGCCAUGUACUCAUAAUGCGAAGAAGAACUUACAGGUGCCUUAUAAUAAGACAAGUCAGGGUGAAUGUAAAUACCUAACUUCCAGCAUAUCCUUUUAUUUGUGUAUGAAUUAUGACUCUAUUUCUUUUUAGAACUGUUCGAGAGUUUUUUCCUGCUUUAAAAGAAAGUACAAAUGGGUGGAGCCUGACAAUGUAACCCGGUGGGAAUGAUGUUGAGGAUUUUAAUUCUAACCCUGCUGACUUCAGUUCAGGCUGGUAAACUCAUGGGUAGGGCUGGAAACAGCACCACACAGAGCCCUCGACAACAGCUACAACAUCUGCUUUUGAUUAAACAGGUGUAAUGGUAUUUCAGAUCACCCCUAAUCUUAAUUAAAGCUAAAUGCUAUUCUGAAAAUUGCCUGUGUAGGAAAAGCUUGAUCAUGCUCCAAAAAGAGAUCUUGGCGGAAUUGUGAAUAGUUCUCUGAGAACUAUUGUGCAGCACCUAUCAAUUGAUUGUGCAGCACCUAUCAAAAAAGCUUAGCAGACUGUUAAGCUCCAUUAGCAAAGGGAUAGAUAAUAAAACAGAAAAUAUUCCAGUGCUGCUCUAUAAAUCUAUGGAACGCCCGCACCUUCAAUGCUAUGAACGGUUCUGGUCACUCCAUCUUAAAAAAAAAAAAAAAUUAGAAUUGGAAAAGGUGAAGAAAAGGGCAACGAAAAUGAUAAAGGGGAUGGAACAGUUUCCAUACGAAGAGAAAUUAAGGAGAGUGGGACUGUUCGGCUUAGAAAAGAGAUGACUAAGGGGGGAGAUGAUGGAGGUCUCUAAAAACAUUGUGUGGAGAAAGCGAAUAGGGAAGUGUUAUUUACCUCUCUACAUGACACAAGAACUAGGGGUCACCUGAUGAAAUUAGCAGGCAGCAGGUUUAAAACAAACAAAAGGAAGUAUUUCUUCACACAUUGCAUAGUCAAUCUCUUGAACUCAUUGCUAUGGGAUGUUGUGAAGACCAAAAGUAUAACUGGUUUAAAAAAAAGAGUUAGAUAAGUUCCUGGAGGAUAGGUUGGUCC